rnacentral:rRNA from 1 species
UACGUAGGGGGCUAGCGUUGUCCGGAUUUAUUGGGCGUAAAGAGCGUGUAGGCGGUCUGGUAGGUCUGCUGUGAAAACUCGAGGCUCAACCUCGAGACGUCGGUGGAAACCAUCUGGCUAGAGUCCGGAAGAGGCGAGUGGAAUUCCUGGUGUAGCGGUGGAAUGCGCAGAUAUCAGGAGGAACACCAAUGGCGAAGGCAGCUCGCUGGGACGGUACUGACGCUGAGACGCGAAAGCGUGGGGAGCAAACAGG